rnacentral:misc_RNA from 1 species
GAUGAAGAACGUAGCGAAAUGCGAUACGUAAUGUGAAUUGCAGAAUUCAGUGAAUCAUCGAAUCUUUGAACGCAUAUUGCGCUCUCUGGUAUUCCGGAGAGCAUGCUUGUUUGAGUAUCAGUAAACACCUCAACUUCCAUAUCUUUUUUGAAAUGGGAGUUGGACGUGAGUGAUCCCAACGCUUUUCCUCACCGAAAAGUGGCGGGUUACUUGAAAUGCAGGUGCAGCUGGACUUUUCUCUGAGCUAUAAGCAUAUCUAUUUAGUCUGCCUAAAAAACAGAUUAUUACCUUUGCUGCAGCUAACAUAAAGGAGAUUAGUUCUUGUGCUGACUGAUGCAGGAUUCACAAAGACAGCUUCGGCCGACUUUGUAAACUCGAUCUCAAAUCAAGUAAGACUACCCGCUGAACUUAAGCAUAUCAAUAAGCGGAGGA